AUGCUCUCCAGGAGGCCGCUCGCCGCCGCCCUACGCCUCGCGCCCCUCUCGCCUCCGCUCCUCCUCUUCUUCGCCUCCUCCUCCUCCUCGUCGUCGUCACCCGCCUCGUGCUCCUCCCCCACCGCUUCGGCCUCGGCCCCCAGAGGCUGCAGUGCUCUAAGGAUGGAUAGCGGCGCUGUGGAACCAGCUUCAACCGGGGCAAUCUGGUCAACGCCGUCGGUGGAGCCGAGAAGCAUUUCCAUCGGGAAGCAGAUAUUCUGCAACAGGUCUCUCAACAUGAGGAACAUCACCGCAGUAGGAUUUGAUAUGGACUACACUCUUGCGCAGUACAAACCUGAGACAUUCGAGGCCCUUGCUUACCAUGGCACCAUUGAGAAGCUCGUGAAGGAUCUCAACUACCCUGAGGAGCUGUUGACAUGGCAAUUUGACUGGAAGUAUAUGGUCAGAGGACUAGUUCUUGAUAAGAAAAGAGGAAAUAUCUUGAAGAUGGACCGGCACAAGUAUGUAAAAGUUGCAUACCAUGGAUUUAGGGAGAUGUCGAAGGAAGAAAAAGUUGCUGCUUAUGGGAGUACAUUGAUAAGGGAUUCCUUCGAUGAACCUGAUUAUGCCCUUAUAGAUACACUUUUCUCACUGGGUGAAGCCUAUCUGUUUGCUCAGCUUGUUGAUUUCAUGGACAGCAAUCCUGCAAAAGUACCUUCAGGCACUGACUAUGCGCAUAUGUAUAGAGAUGUGAGGUCUGCGGUUGAUCUGUGUCAUCGUGAUGGAACUUUAAAACGAAUGGUUGCAAAGGAACCUAGCAGGUAUAUCAAUGAAGACUUGGCAAUUGUACCGAUGCUUCAAAUGCUUAGAAAAUCUGGACGCUCCACAUUCUUGGUGACAAACAGUUUAUGGGACUACACUGAUGUUGUCAUGAACUACCUAUGUGGGCCAUAUAUGUCAGAUGUAAGCUCAAGUCACAACCACAAGUGGCUUGAGUAUUUUGAUGUUGUUAUAACAGGCAGUUCAAAGCCAAGCUUUUUUCAUGAUGAUAACCGAACAGGAUUGUUUGAAGUUGAGCCUGAUUCUGGGAAACUUCUAAAUGCUGAUCUUCAGAUUGGAAGCCCAAGAUCAAGUCAACAUCAGCCAAAACCAAUUCACAAAGUUUACCAGGGAGGCAAUGUUGGUCAUCUUCACAGACUACUUUCUGUUGCUUCUAGUUCGCAGAUCCUCUAUGUUGGUGAUCACAUAUAUGGAGACAUACUCCGCAGCAAGAAAGUUCUAGGUAAAAAUACACAUGCCAAUUUGCGUGCAUGCUUGAUCAAUUCAAGUUGGCGGACUAUGCUGGUAAUACCUGAGCUGGAGCAAGAGGUGAAGCUUCAAUCAGAAUCAAAGUCUACUCGAAAGGAGCUUAGACACCUUAGAAUGGAGCGUGAUUCAGUUGAAGACACGAUCCAUCGCCUUGAAUGGUCUCUUCAAUUUGAAGAUCUUACAGAGAAUGAGAAGGGAAAGUUGUUAUCUGAGCAUGAUAAUCUACUGCAAAAGCUGAAGGGUAUCCGCUGCCUUCUCCGAGAUGCUCAGAUGCAACAUCACCAGAAGUUUCACAAGGUGUGGGGACAGCUUAUGAAGACUGGGUACCAAAACUCUCGGUUUGCUCACCAGGUCGAGAGAUUUGCAUGCCUAUACUGCAGCCAAGUUACAGACUUUGGGUUGUAUUCUCCCAACAAGUAUUACCGUCCAAGCGAAGAUUACAUGCCCCAUGAGUUCGAUGUGCUUGGCCUGUAG
rnacentral:rRNA from 1 species